GAUGAACGCUAGCGGCAGGCCUAAUACAUGCAAGUCGAACGGUGUCUUCGGACAUAGUGGCGCACGGGUGCGUAACACGUAUGCAACCUACCUUACAUUGGGGGAUAGCCUUUCGAAAGGGAGAUUAAUACCGCAUAAGACAGUAGCUGGGCAUCCAGCAGCUGUUAAAGAUUUAUCGAUGUAAGCUGGGCAUGCGUCCAAUCAGCUAGUUGGUGAGGUAACGGCUCACCAAGGCUAUGAUUGGUAGGGGAACUGAGAGGUCAAUCCCCCACACUGGCACUGAGAUACGGGCCAGACUCCUACGGGAGGCAGCAGUAGGGAAUAUUGGGCAAUGGACGCAAGUCUGACCCAGCCAUGCCGCGUGCAGGAUGAAGGCGUUAUGCGUUGUAAACUGCUUUUAUACAGGAAGAAACGACUCUUGCGAGAGGCAUUGACGGUACUGUAUGAAUAAGCACCGGCUAACUCCGUGCCAGCCGCCGCAGUAAAAC
rnacentral:rRNA from 1 species